UAUCCGUUUUUCAGAGUCUAUAAAUCUAUGAAUAUGAGUGUGAACAUGAAAGGCUGAGAACCAGAAGGGACAACCUCUUUCCUGCAAUGUUCAUUAUCAUGUCAUCCCUCCUAGAAAUCUGUCAAUCUGUUUGGAACUUACGUAGAAGAACAAAAGCGGUUACACACUUUUAUCUCUCCAGUCUAAACUACUAUAAGAGCAUCCAAAUGCUGAUUUCUGCAGAGGAGUAGGUAUUUUCCCCUUACUUGAUGUCAGAAGGAAGGAAACCCCCAACCGGUCCCCACUGAGGCAUCCCACAGUACCUAUGAUAACUCACACGAUCGUUCUUGUGCCUUUUCCUAUAUGAGACAACUUUCCCUUUCAUCUAAUGUUCAAGGUAUAUAUAGGCAGCGUAUGGUGCAUAAAUCAAACACAGCUUUCCUUGAACCCAAAAUGCUCUUGCUCUCUAUUUUCUUGGUGAGUUGCUGCUUACCUGGCUCAAUGGGAGAUGCAGUAGAAGAAUUUCAAGAUAACCUCAAGGCUCUAGUAGCUUUAGCAAACAAAGAGUUGAGAUGCUCAAGGCACUGCAUGUCAAGCUUUCCUCAGAAGCUGGUAAUUGUUUCCCCAAAGGAAGUUCAGAAAUAGAAAACCUGAUGAAGAUGAUACGUAGUUCAAGAUGUUUAACAAUGUGGCAGUCACUUAGAGGAGAAAUACCUUCUAACAGUAUAUUCUUUUUAAAAAUUUUAGAUCUUUCUUCCAGUACCCAAGGGGAAAUUUCAGUGCAGUCAUGUUCCUUGUCAACUUGAAAAAACCAUAGAAGGACUGAAAGUUUCCUUUAAGAAUAAUCGAGCAAGAACCCGUAUUUCUCUGAUGGAGAAAAACAUGGAUCACAUAACAUCAACUUUACAGAGAACAAAUACACAACCCAAGAACAUCAUAUACUGUCCAAUGAGAGACCAGACCCUACAGACAGCCCUUAAUAUCUUCAAUAGAUAUUUUCAGAAGGUGAAUGAGAACUGCUGGGAGUCCUGAUGGCAGGUGUUGGCACACCAAGUACUUGGUGACAACUCUUAACCAACACUAGAGCUGGUUCUGAUGGAAGACAGAGCACCACAAAGAGACACCACAACAUUAACAUGAAUGUUUCAUAUAUGACUUAUAUUUAUGUCUUAUUGCACUCAUUAGCAUAUUUAUUUAAUUUAUAGAGAGCUUCUAUAUUUUUACCCUAAA